CGAGGGGCAUACCAUGAUGAUAAGGCAGCCUGUGAUGAUGUACUGCAUGAUGUCGACAAUGCUGCAGCCAUGACAAGUACAUCAGGAUUAUUUAGGAUAGGUACGGAAGUAAAUGAUGGCAAAGAGAACUAUGAAGACAAUGAAGAAAGGAAUGAAAAAAAAUCAUGUAGAAGAAAACUGUUCACUGGAUUAAGUG